AUUUCAAAUUAGGACAAUAACAUUUUUAUUUAAAUUCAAUUAUUUUUUGUUGUUGUUCCACUUUUGAUUAUAAAAAUUCUACAAAUAGAAAUGACGUUAGUGUGACGUUAGAUGAGUCGAUAAAUCAACUCGGUAGUCAGCAGCAGCCUGGUUCCUACUCUGUAAUUAUGUGGGGAGAGGUAUGUAACAUUAGGACGGUCGUAAAAUCUGGUCGGUUGACUCCGGAAGGAAACGCACUAACUUCCGGAAUGAUUUCAACUCUGAAUAACACCUGACGAACAGUAUAAAGGGGGGAAGUGAUGAUUCGCUGUCGAUAGCGAACGAACGAUGACUACGACGACGGACACGGAAAUGAUAUGCAAACACCUUCAACGCCAGCCCAAGAGAGGAAGGGUGUACCUGUAUAAUUAGACGACGUGUGGUGUGUGUGGCAGCAAUUCAUUCCGUCCAAUCCUCUUCCGUACACGUACACAACCAACCCCCUACAAGGAACGCCCUCGCGUCAGUCGCGACUAAAACAAAAUCCGGAAGGUAUUACGUUGGUCGAAAGGUGAAAGAUCCGGAUACUUCCGAUCCUUCCUGUCCAGGUUUAUUUUAUCAUCAUAUCAUCAAGUCGACAUAAAAAUUAAUUAUUUGGAAUUUUUAUUUUUAAUGUUUCUUCUUCUUCUUCUACGAAUUCUAUCAUGAAGAAAAUGAAAUUUUUGUUUUUUCUUGUUUAAUUCCCUGGAAAUUAGAAAGCCCCCCUCGACAAGAAAGCCCAUUGUCUUUAUUACUGGCGCCAUCCAUCCAUCCGCAUCCAUCCGGGAAUUUCCCAUCUCUCUCUCUUCUUCUUCUUCUUCUUCUUUUCUAAAUCAAGAAAUUCCUGAUUGGCGGCGGCGAUGGUAGUAGUGGCUGGCGGAGAAUUUUUUACCCCGAAAAAAUUUUACUUAAUAAAAAAAAAAAAACGAAGAAUUUUCCAAAACCUUUUUACUUCACCCACCCCCAGGAAAAAAAAAUCCACCGGAAUAAAAAAAAAAAAAUUCCCCAAAAUGAUUUCGAUUCAAAAUUAUUUUUAUUUAUUUUUCCUUGAGGACAAAGAAAUCGGGACAAACUAGCAAUCCGUAAACGAUAGAAAAAUAAAGGGCCCCACCCGGUGACUCCACCCCCAAUUUGAAAUGUGUUGCAUAUCCUGUUGCGCAAUCUACUUUUUUUUUUGACUCAUUUUUGUUCGAACGGCAAACAAUUGAAGAACGUCCAACACAAAAACAGUUGAGUCUACACCCUUCCUUCCUGUUUGUCACGGCCGGAUGAUGCUCGAGAAUCGUCACGGGACAACCAGCAAAAACUUAUUUACCAAAAAAUGUAAAAGUUAAAAACGAAAUGGCUCGUUUAUAAUCAUCGACAAUGUUUGGUGUCCAAUUUGACUUUUUUUUUUUUAAAUAAUAAUAUUGUUGUUAAAAGGUGAAUUUCAGCACCUCUUUUUUAAAUAAUAAUAACCAAUUGUCCUUGCCAUCGGGUCGAGAUGGGAAUUCGUCCCAGCCCCCCCCCCCCCCCAAAAAAAAAAGGUCUUAAAAAGACGAUAGGCUGGCCGACCCCGGGGUCUGAUGAUGAGAGGGUAAAAGGUAUUGUACUCGGUAGACCUAUACAUAUAUAGAGCCUCUUUGAUUUCUAUUUUAUUUUUAUUUUUUUCCACCUUUUUUUCUUCAUUGUAUCAAAGAAGCCAGAGCCGAGGCGACGAAACCCCGUCGAGUGUCUGGCGCCGAGGAUAUAGUCUCUGCGUGUGUACUAUGUAUAUGUACAUACACAGAGAGACAGUGGAAAAACGGAUGGAUUCUUUAUAAGGCCAGACAAUAAUGGAAUGAAGUUUCCCAUUUUUAAAUUGUAAAUUCUAAGUCAUUCCGCCAAACUGACUAGACGACGACAACUUUGCCUUUUUGAGCUGCACUGCUGAACUGUGGCGACAAACUCAUCCGCUUUUGUCCGGCUUCCAAAUCCCCCAGGUGUCAAAACAACAGAGAAACGGGCCGACCGGUUUUCUUUAAAUUUUCUUACAUUCAAUUUUUUGGGGAAAUGUAUAAAUUUAUAGUGAUAUUCAAAUUCUUAGCCGCGGUCGGAUGUGAAUUCAACAAAUCUCUUGAAUGGUUCAAAAAGGAGAAGAAGAUUCCGAGGAAUUUUCUCUCUAUAGAAAAAGUUUAACACGGAAUUUUUAUUUUCAUCCGGCCCGGGUGACAGCUGACUAACGAUAUAGGCUUUUUAACACGCAGCCAGAGGGGGGUUAUACUGUAUGUACAUAUAUAUACGUGUAUAGUAUAGUAUAGUAUAGAGGGAAUGCAGCUAUUGUAUUGUUGUAAUACAAUUUUUUACUUUGGGGAUAUAACACAGAGCCACGUAUGGAAGGUAAACGCCUAAAUGGGGGCGACACGGAUCAACCUAUUUGUAUGAGGCUCUUAUAUAGGGGCGCAAUAUACAAUACAUUCCAUUGCGUAUUUCUAUCUAUCUAUUAUUCAACGUCGCCUAUUGAAAAAAUAAGAAAAAAAGAAUUUCUUCUCUUCUUUGACGUUUGAAUUUUCGCGCGCUAAAUGUUUUCUAGCGACAAUCAUUUGACCAGAUGCUAAUUUGGUCAUCUGGUCAAAAGUUAAACGAAAUGGCCACUUCUUUUCUUGUAGAGUUUCAAUUUUUGCUUUUUAAAAAAGGGUGUUGGGUUACAUUUGAAACUUGUCUCGGUGUUUCCCCCAUAAUAAAAGACGCACACAUCUGUCUUGUCUCUUGUCUUGUUCGUUUUUGAACACGUCUGGAACACACAUGCUAUUAUUGACUUAUAUUUUAUUUUAUUUUAAUUUUUAUGUUUUUUCUUGACUCGACCAGAGGAAUCACAAACAUUUCUUUCUUGGUUGUUUUUCUGCUAUUUCACGGAGUUGUACUACACCACCUGCGUUAUUACAGAAUGUUGUUGUUGUUGUUGCGGCGCAUUAUUCAAAUGAGGAGAGAUGGUUACAAGGACUUUGACGAGAGGGUGGUCGCUUUAAAUAUUU